CAUGAAGUGGCAUGGAGCAGCUGAGUUUUGAUCAAAUGUCCCCAACUCAGAGCUCUUGGCCACAUUCCUUUGCCCACUUUCUUCCUAAGUCACUCAUCUCUCCAUUUCCUUAUUUUUCCAAUGAUGAAGUUGGCCUUUUCCCUUAAACUCACAUUAGACUCUAACCUUGAAAAUUCUUGACCAGUUAAGUGCACAGACUGCAGCCAGAGACUCUGGGUUUGAAUCUCACCUCCACCACAACCAGGUGGAUAAUCUCAGGGGAGCAAGACUUGUUUGCUUGCUGUAUGGCAGAAGUCAGUUCAUCUGUGUGACAUCCUUACAACAGUGCUCGGCGUAAAGAAGGCACUCAGCAACUCAAGUUGAACUGUCAUUUGUAGUUAUCUUCACAACUCCAGUAGUUCCUAGUACUUGGAUGAUUGUAACAGUGGCUUCCCUGAAGAGAGAGAGCUCGUGUGGCCUGAGACCUGCUCACUAUCUUGAUUCAUUCUCAGAACAAACCUUUAGGUUCACUGGUGGUCUGAUUAGGCAAGCCCCAAGAUGAUGAUAUCCUUUUCUCAGAGUCAGCUGUGUUGCAUAGCACAGCCUGAUCACGGGAGGGAUAGCUCAUCAUUUCACAACCCUGGCAAUUAUUGGAAGGAGAAGAAUCUUGGAAACACCUGGGACUUUUGCUGCCAAAGAAUCACCUGCUUGACAGUUUUACAUGAGGCAAUUUUGUUAGAGUGUGUAGACUGGUUUUAGAGUAAGCUCUAGAACAGCCUGCUGAUCUUGAACCUGGUGUUUUUGUGUUGUUUUCAGGUGGCUCCAAUUUGAAUGUGUUGUGUUUCUGCCAGCUUCAACCACCAGUGAUAUAUACAUAACUGUCCUAUUGGGCAGCUUAUACCAUUUUAUUAUUAAAAAGAUUGAUAGACCACUCCUAGGGCAGAGGAGGUGAGCCAGUCCCAGCGCCCAGAAGGAGGCUCCCCUGCUGCCAUUCCACCACUCCUAGGGCAGAGGAGGUGAGCCGCAGGGGUGCCAGCAGCAAACCCCCUCUCCCCCGUGGAAAUGAGAAGACAUGUAAACAAGCCUCAAAAACAGACUUCCGGAUCACCUACAGCAACCGCAAAGGGAAACAAGAUGGAACAAUCUGAUGCUCAACCACAUGGACUCCCUGAACUGGCAACAAAAGAGGAUCUGGAAAAAAUGAAAUAAAUAAUUUCUCAGAUAACAGCAAAGAUUGUGCUCAUAGUGCAAGACAUGAUUAAUAAAUCUAGAGAGGACACAGAUUGAAAAACAGAGGAUCUGAGGAACAUGAUGGAAUCCCAACAUAGGAAACAAAUGGAAUCCAUAAAACAGAUGCAAACAGAUUUCCAGAUUAAAAACUCCAUUGAAAGUCUAUGCAGCAGAAUGAGUCAUUGUGAGGACGGAAUUUCAGAUAUAGAAGAUAAGAUCAUUACUGACUUAACACUUGUCAUUGUAUUUUUUCUCUUGUUGAUUCCUUUUUCCCUUUUGCUUAACUACUUGUAUUCUUUCCAUCUGAUUUUUUGGGCAUUGGUGGC
rnacentral:lncRNA from 1 species